UGGCUCAGUUGGUAGAGCAUGGUGUUUGCAACGCCAGGGUUGUGGGUUCGAUUCCCAC
rfam:Salmo salar isolate Sally breed double haploid chromosome ssa23, whole genome shotgun sequence.